UGGGGAAUAUUGGACAAUGGGCGCAAGCCUGAUCCAGCCAUGCCGCGUGAGUGACGAAGGUCUUCGGAUUGUAAAGCUCUUUUUGGCGGGGACGAUAAUGACGGUACCCGCAGAAUAAGCCCCGGCUAACUUCGUGCCAGCAGCCGCGGUAAUACGAAGGGGGCUAGCGUUGUUCGGAAUUACUGGGCGUAAAGCGCACGUAGGCGGAUUGUUAAGUCAGAGGUGAAAUCCCGGAGCUCAACUUCGGAACUGCCUUUGAUACUGGCAAUCUCGAGUCCGGAAGAGGUUAGUGGAAUUCCCAGUGUAGAGGUGAAAUUCGUAGAUAUUGGGAAGAACACCAGUGGCGAAGGCGGCUAACUGGUCCGGUACUGACGCUGAGGUGCGAAAGCGUGGGGAGCAAACAGGAUUAGAUACCCACGUAGUCCCUGAGCGGGCUGGCAAGGCGCAU
rnacentral:rRNA from 1 species